UAGAUAUCACGAAGAACUCCGAUUGCGAAGGCAGCUUGCUGGACCGUAACUGACGUUGAUGCUCGAAAGUGCGGGUAUCAAACAGGAUUAGAUACCCUGGUAGUCCGCACAGUAAACGAUGAAUACUCGCUGUUGGCGAUAUACUGCCAGCGGCCAAGCGAAAGCGUUAAGUAUUCCACCUGGGGAGUACGCCGGCAACGGUGAAACUCAAAGGAAUUGACGGGGGCCCGCACAAGCGGAGGAACAUGUGGUUUAAUUCGAUGAUACGCGAGGAACCUUACCCGGGCUUGAACUGCAGCGGAAUGAUUUGGAAACAGAUCAGCGAGCAAUCGCCGCUGUGGAGGUGCUGCAUGGUUGUCGUCAGCUCGUGCCGUGAGGUGUCGGCUUAAGUGCCAUAACGAGCGCAACCCUUUCCGAUAGUUGCCAUCAGGUGACGCUGGGGACUCUAUCGGGACUGCCGUCGUAAGAUGUGAGGAAGNUNGNNNUGACGUCAAAUCAGCACGGCCCUUACGUCCGGGGCUACACACGUGUUACAAUGGGGGGUACAGCAGGCCGCUACCGGGCGACCGGAUGCCAAUCCCUAAAACCCCUCUCAGUUCGGACUGGAGUCUGCAACCCGACUCCACGAAGCUGGAUUCGCUAGUAAUCGCGCAUCAGCCACGGCGCGGUGAAUACGUUCCCGGGCCUUGUACACACCGCCCGUCAAGCCAUG
rnacentral:rRNA from 1 species